AUGCACUGAGUACCUGCUGUAUGCCUGGGACUGUGUUAGGAAUUGAGGAAAUUCCAAUAAGCAAAUAUGGAUCACAUUCCUUCUUGCAGACUAGCAAAAGAUAUAGACAUGGAACUUGACAAUUACAACACUGUACUGCAAUAAGUGCUAUGUGAAGGCUUGUUGAAAAUGUAGGAGCCAAUGUUUCCAACCGUCCCUGCUCCAAACUCUGAUGCAUACGCACCUGUGUACAGGGUGCACCCUGGCCUACAUGUUCUUUCAUCAUUCUGCAGUGCUCAAUGUGGUUAUUGUACAGCUUCAUUUUCAGUGAAAGCCACGGGAACAGAAGCCUCAUACAUUCCCCACCCAUCCCACUUUCACACAUCAGUCAUUCAAGAAAUAAAGGAAAGAAAGCAUUAAAUAUGACCCAGUCACAUCUUGGCAAUUAACAUAAUAUUUUAAGAGAAGGAAAAAUAUCAUAAAUGGAGGAAAACACAUUACCUCCUAAAAUGCCACCAAAUUGCCAAAAUACAAGUUUGUUAGUG